UUGGAUCAGAGAUUUGUCAAUUAUAUUGUGUUCAUGUAACUUGAUUGGUUUAAGGCAGUUGGUUUCCUCAAAUGAAUUUAGUAGACAAAAUGUAAUUUUAAGUUAUCACAGCUAGAAUGUAAUAAGUUAUUAAACUUGAGUAAAAAGAGUAGUGUUACUUAAUUCACAUACAUUUAAUGAACAUGUUAUAUCAGUUGAAUGAAUUGCUGCAUUUAAGUGCAAAAAGCUAAAUCUUUACAUUUCACUUCAGUAAAUGGAAUUAGUAAUGCUAACUCAUAAUUUACAUGUCACAAUAACUUUAUAUAUACAAGUUAACUUUACUUACAUAAAAUAAUUGCUGGUACUUAAUUUAUUUGAGUUAGUAAACUUAAAUAGUUCAAGGCAAUCGGUUUCCUCAAACAGUUUAAGUUGAAGUAACUUGUAAGGUUUUACAGUGAUAGUGGAAUUACAAGGUCCAAAAGACUGAAACCAUCCGGUACCCAGUGAAGGAAAAGAAGGAAAGGAGAGGAAGACGUGAAGAAGAUACAGUUAUUACAAUCUUUCAGGUUUCCAUCAUUGCUAUGGUGGUUACUAUGGACUCUGCUGUCGCUGAUGUACUUCCACCAGUUUUUUCUUCUUCUUUUUUUAUUGCCAACCUUCUCCUGCUUCAGGUAAGAACGCAACUGUGUUAGUAAAUCAGAAAUGCAAUGAGCUAUAUUGCCUUGACACCAAUCAGUUUUGUCAAUAACAAAGUUUGACAAAUUUAGAUAGAUAGAUGUACUUUAUUGAUUGUGACUAGACUAGGCUUUCUUGAUUGUGCUCUCACUCUACUUUUAUUACUGUUUUACAGAUGACCAGUUUCUCUCAUCUCUCAGUCCCUCUACCUUCCUUUACACAACCAACGGCUCUUUUAAGAGCCAACCAUUUGUCAACAACAAUAUCAGAGGCAAGCUGGGACAGAAGUCUAUACCAUAUAGGGUGCACUUUCCCCACAGAUCAGAGAUGGAGGAUUGAGCAUCUUUUAGUUUUGCUGUUUCGGCACUAUGGCAGCAGAUGAGGCUACCCUUAAGGAGCUGAUCAGAAAGGCACAGAGCCUGGCAGAGCAUCUCAACUCACUAGUCGAGCCUGCACAGGUGAACAAAAGAAGAUCAAAACCACCAGUCCAGAUCUGAUGGAGAAAGCGGGAUAAAGAUGGCAGCAUUAUUGCCCAGACCAUCAAGUCCUCUUCAUCCAAAUCCCGUGGUGGAAGGCCCAGAUGACUUUACCUCAGUGUUCCUGAGGGGACAUCAGUGGAGAUGCCUGAUGAGGAAGAGGCAGGACUCAAAUAUUGCCAAUGGAAAUGCCACACCAGAUUUGUGACUCCCCCCCAGAGAAUGUGUCUGUCAUUGCUGGGAGGCCUGUGGUGUUCAUCAACAUGAAAGGACGAGAUGAUCUGACCCUCCCAGAGCUGUGAUGUGGUGGCUGCUGUGCCAGCUGGACCCCAGGGCUGUACCAUGUCCAAGUCAGUGGCUACUGGCCUGCCACCAUCCAUUUCCAUACCAUCUAUGAUGUAGCUAUGAUUCAAGCUUUACGGGAGAUGAAGUUGGCUGCUCCAGGGAUUUCCCGCCUGACCUUUAUGAGAAUGCUGGAAGCACAAACAACAGUGUAUGGCAGGACUGGUAAAGUUUGCUCAGACACAUUUUUCCAGAGCUUCAUGGAGCGGGUCAUCAGCUCCUACGAAGUGGACAAGUUGUGCUCAGAGCAACCAUUCGCCUGCACAACCUGUCCCCUCAGAUGUUGGCUGUGUCUGUGGAUGGAAACAGGAAGCACUACUGCUUCAAAAAGGGUGGACACUCUGAGGAAGGGGGUUAUUUUGACGGUGUGCUCAUCUGCAAGGAUAACGAGGUUGCAGUAUUUGCGGACGACCUCCAAAAGAGGGCCAAGCAUUUGCCAGGUAAAGGUGUUUGUGGCAGGUCUCAGCUGAACGCAGCAAAGGAGACAACAAGCAAGAGGGCUUGUUCCAGCCUUGAUGAGCAAGGUCUAAAGUAGCAGUGUGCCGUCGUGGCAUUAUCCUUCGGGCCCUGAAUAUGUACAGGCAA